AUUGAACGCUGGCGGAAUGCUUUACACAUGCAAGUCGAACGGCAGCACGGACUUCGGUCUGGUGGCGAGUGGCGAACGGGUGAGUAAUGUAUCGGAACGUGCCCAGUCGUGGGGGAUAACGUAGUGAAAAUUACGCUAAUACCGCAUACGAUCUAUGGAUGAAAGCGGGGGAUCGCAAGACCUCGCGCGAUUGGAGCGGCCGAUAUCAGAUUAGGUAGUUGGUGGGGUAAAGGCCCACCAAGCCAACGAUCUGUAGCUGGUCUGAGAGGACGACCAGCCAGACUGGAACUGAGACACGGUCCAGACUCCUACGGGAGGCAGCAGUGGGGAAUUUUGGACAAUGGGCGAAAGCCUGAUCCAGCCAUUCCGCGUGCAGGAUGAAGGCCCUCGGGUUGUAAACUGCUUUUGUACAGAACGAAAAGGUCUCUACUAAUACUAGGAGCUCAUGACGGUACUGUAAGAAUAAGCACCGGCUAACUACGUGCCAGCCGCCGCCGCGG
rnacentral:rRNA from 1 species